rnacentral:rRNA from 1 species
ACCCGCUGACUUAAGCAUAUCAAUAAGCGGAGGAAAAGAAACCAACAGGGAUUGCCCUAGUAACGGCGAGUGAAGCGGCAACAGCUCAAAUUUGAAAGCUGGCUCCGGCCCGCAUUGUAAUUUGCAGAGGAUGCUUUUGGUGAGGUGCCUUCCGAGUUCCCUGGAACGGGACGCCACAGAGGGUGAGAGCCCCGUAUGGAUGGACACCAAACCUGUGUAAAGCUCCUUCAACGAGUCGAGUAGUUUGGGAAUGCUGCUCAAAAUGGGAGGUAAAUCUCUUCUAAAGCUAAAUACCGGCCAGAGACCGAUAGCGCACAAGUAGAGUGAUCGAAAGAUGAAAAGCACCUUGAAAAGGGGGUUAAACAGUACGUGAAAUUGUUGAAAGGGAAGCGUUUAUGACCAGACUUGCGCCGGGCAGCUCAUCAGGGGUUCUCCCCUGUGCACUCUGCCCGGCUCAGGCCAGCAUCGGUUCUCGUGGGAGGAUAAGAACGGUAGGAAUGUGGCCCCCUCUCGGGGGGGUGUUAUAGCCUGCCGUACGAUACUCCCGUGGGGACCGAGGUUCGCGCUCCGCAAGGAUGCUGGCGUAAUGGUCAUCAACGACCCGUCUUGAAACACGGACCAAGGAGUCGUCCAUUAGAGCGAGCGUUUGGGUGUAAAACCCGCACGCGUAAUGAAAGUGAACGCAGGUGAGAGCUUCGGCGCAUCAUCGACCGAUCCUGAUGUUCUCGGAUGGAUUUGAGUAAGAGUUUUAACGGACGGACCCGAAAGACAGUGAACUAUGCUUGUAUAGGGUGAAGCCAGAGGAAACUCUGGUGGAGGCUCGCAGCGGUUCUGACGUGCAAAUCGAUCGUCAAAUAUGAGCAUGGGGGCGAAAGACUAAUCGAACUGUCUAGUAGCUGGUUACCGCCGAAGUUUCCCUCAGGAUAGCAGUGUUGUUCUUCAGUUUUAUGAGGUAAAGCGAAUGAUUAGGGACUCGGGGGCGCUUAUUAGCCUUCAUCCAUUCUCAAACUUUAAAUAUGUAAGAAGCCCUUGUUACUUAAUUGAACGUGGGCAUUCGAAUGUACCAACACUAGUGGGCCAUUUUUGGUAAGCAGAACUGGCGAUGCGGGAUGAACCGAACGCGGGGUUAAGGCGCCAGAGUGUACGCUCAUCAGACACCACAAAAGGCGUUAGUACAUCUUGACAGCAGGACGGUGGCCAUGGAAGUCGGAAUCCGCUAAGGACUGUGUAACAACUCACCUGCCGAAUGUACUAGCCCUGAAAAUGGAUGGCGCUCAAGCGUACCGCCCAUACCCCGCCCUCAGGGUAGAAACGAUGCCCUGAGGAGUAGGCGGCCGUGGAGGUUAGUGACGAAGCCUAGGGCGUGAGCCCGGGUCGAACAGCCUCUAGUGCAGAUCUUGGUGGUAGUA